UUGAGGAGAAACCAAUACGACGAACCAAUACGACGAAGUCGUAAUUUAAGAUGGUUUCGACGACCUGCCAACCAGCGAAGGCGAGGGGGGCGAUACAGAAU
rnacentral:sRNA from 12 species